rnacentral:rRNA from 1 species
AGUCAACAUGCCCAGGGGACGUGGAUAACCUCGGGAAACUGAGGAUAAACCGCGAUAGGCCAUAAUGUCUGGAAUGAUUUAUGGCUCAAAUCUAUAUGGCCCCUGGAUUGGACUGCGGCCGAUCAGGCUGUUGGUGAGGUAAUGGCCCACCAAACCUAAAACCGGUACGGGCUCUGAGAGGAGAAGCCCGGAGAUGGGCACUGAGACAAGGGCCCAGGCCCUAUGGGGCGCAGCAGGCGCGAAACCUCUGCAAUAAGCGAAAGCUUGACAGGGUUAUUCUGAGUGAUUUCCGCUAAGGAAGUCUUUUGGCACCUCUAAAAAUGGUGCAGAAUAAGGGGUGGGCAAGCCUGGUGUCAGCCGCCGCGGUAAUACCAGCACCCCGAGUGGUCGGGACGAUUAUUGGGCCUAAAGCAUCCGUAGCCGGUUCUACAAGUCUUCCGUUAAAUCCACCUGCUUAACAGUUGGGCUGCGGAGGAUACUAUAGAGCUAGGAGGCGGGAGAGGCAAGCGGUACUUAGUGGGUAGGGGUAAAAUCCGUUGAUCCACUGAAGACCACCAGUGGCGAAGGCGGCUUGCCAGAACGCGCUCGACGGUGAGGGAUGAAAGCUGGGGGAGCAAACCGGAUUAGAUACCCGGGUAGUCCCAGCUGUAAACGAUGCAGACUCGGUGAUGAAUAGGCUUCGUGCCUAUUCAGUGCCGCAGGGAAGCCGUUAAGUCUGCCGCCUGGGGAGUACGGUCGCAAGACUGAAACUUAA